GGGUCAGUAGGUUGGUCGUGCCACCGGUACGUACUGGUCUCACUGAUUCCUCCUUCCUGAAGAACCGUAAUGCCAUUAAUUUGGUGUUGCGGGGAAACAGGACUGCUACUUUGAAAAAAUUAGAGUGUUUAAAGCAAGCUAACGCUUGGAUACAUUAGCAUGGAAUAAUGAAAUAGGACGAUCGAUCCUAUUUUGUUGGUUUCUAGGAUUGACGUA
rnacentral:rRNA from 1 species